rnacentral:misc_RNA from 1 species
UCUGCUCACAAAAUUUCAAUAAUUAUACCCUGUAAAUUUACAGAACACACACCAACCCUUUAUCUCUCCAUAUACUUUUCACAAGAAAUAAUAUCUCAACCAGAAAUCUCAAUAGCCUUCACAUCAGUUUUCUUGACUUCCUCCUUAGGAACAGUCACAGUAAGAACUCCAUUCUCCAUAGAAGCCUUAACCUCAUCCAUCUUCACAUUCUCCGGCAGCCUGAACCUCCUCAAGAACUUGCCACUGCUACGCUCCACACGGUGCCAUGUAUCGUACUUGUCUUCCUUCUCCACAUUCCUCUCUCCGCUGAUUUGCAGCACUCUGGCAUCUUCAAUUUCAACUUUCACUUGCUCUUUUUUGAGCCCAGGAAGGUCGGCCUUGAAGAUAUGAGCUUCUGGAGUCUCCUUCCAGUCCAUGCGAGUGUUAGCAAAGGCCAAAUUUUCACCAGAAGAAGAAGGGAACGGAAAGUCCUUGAAUGGAUCCCGCAGAGCAAAAGAAGAGAAGGGAUCGAAAAUGCUGCUUGUUGGGUUACCGAAGAAGCUUGUAAUCAUUGCCAUUUUCAAUCUCAAGGCUUAAGUUUUAAGAGUGGAGGAUUGUUAUUCUUGCAGAAUUAGCUAUGAAUUGCUUCUUGUUG